AGUGAACGCUGGCGGUAGGCCUAACACAUGCAAGUCGAACGGCAGCACAGUAAGAGCUUGCUCUUACGGGUGGCGAGUGGCGGACGGGUGAGGAAUACAUCGGAAUCUACUUUUUCGUGGGGGAUAACGUAGGGAAACUUACGCUAAUACCGCAUACGACCUACGGGUGAAAGCAGGGGAUCUUCGGACCUUGCGCGAUUGAAUGAGCCGAUGUCGGAUUAGCUAGUUGGCGGGGUAAAGGCCCACCAAGGCGACGAUCCGUAGCUGGUCUGAGAGGAGGAUCAGCCACACUGGAACUGAGACACGGCCCAGACUCCUACGGGAGGCAGCAGUGGGGAAUAUUGGACAAUGGGCGCAAGCCUGAUCCAGCCAUACCGCGUGGGUGAAGAAGGCCUUCGGGUUGUAAAGCCCUUUUGUUGGGAAAGAAAAGCAGCAGGUUAAUACCCCGCUGUUCUGACGGUACCCAAAGAAUAAGCACCGGCUAACUUCGUG
rnacentral:rRNA from 1 species